UCAUGGCUACACGACAGCCGCGCUUUCCGGGCCGCCACGCCGUGCAGGGCCGGGACAAAAAAUCGCAAGAGCCACCGCUCGCUCGCUCCGAGUAGUAAAACUUCAGUCAUGCUCAGUUCAUUUCCUUGCAACAGGCAGUUGGUAGGGUAGGUAUGGUAACCACGGUAAAGAAGAAGCCGACCCGUGCGUGGAAGACGGAUAGCCCUCUCCAGCUGGCUCGCAGGAGGUCGACGACGGCGACACAGGGCCAU
rnacentral:lncRNA from 1 species